rnacentral:rRNA from 1 species
CUGGUUGAUCCUGCCAGUAGUCAUAUGCUUGUCUCAAAGACUAAGCCAUGCAUGUCUAAGUAUAAAUGUUAUACAGUGAAACUGCGAAUGGCUCAUUAAAACAGUUAUAGUUUAUUUGAUAAUCGAAUUUACAUGGAUAACCGUGGUAAUUCCAGAGCUAAUACAUGCUGGUUAGCCUGACUUCGAGGAAGGGCUGUAUUUAUUAGAUAACAAACCAAUAUUCUUCGUGUCUAUUGUGAUGACUCAUAAUAACUGAUCGAAUCGCAUGGUCCUUGACCGCGAUAAAUCAUUCAAGUUUCUGCCCCAUCAGCUUUCGAUGGUAGUGUAUUGGACUACCAUGGCUUUAACGGGUAACGGAGGAUUAGGGUUCGAUUCCGGAGAGGGAGCCUGAGAAACGGCUACCACAUCUAAGGAAGGCAGCAGGCGCGUAAAUUACCCAAUCCUGACUCAGGGAGGUAGUGACAAGAAAUAACGGACCGAGGCUUUGCUUCGGGAUUGCAAUGAGUAGAAUUUAAACCCCUUUACGAGGAUCCAUUGGAGGGCAAGUCUGGU